rnacentral:rRNA from 1 species
UACCCUACGGGACGCAGCAGUGGGGAAUAUUGCACAAUGGGGGAAACCCUGAUGCAGCGACGCCGCGUGAGUGAAGAAGUAAUUCGUUACGUAAAGCUCUAUCAGCAGGGAAGAAACACUGACCUUACGGUCAGCAGACGGUACCUGAGUAAGAAGCCCCGGCUAACUACGUGCCAGCAGCCGCGGUAAUACGUAGGGGGCAAGCGUUAUCCGGAUUUACUGGGUGUAAAGGGAGCGUAGACGGCGAAGAAAGUCUGAAGUGAAAGCCCGCGGCUUAACCGCGGAACUGCUUUGGAAACUUUUUU